UAUCCUAGAUUGCUUUCAAGGUCAUUUCUUUAUGGAACCCCAUUCCCAUAAAUUCAGUAUCCAAAGAUGGUUGUUGUAUCUAAAUAGGGGUUCCAUAACGAAAUGAUCUUGGACGCAAUCUAGGAGU
rfam:Oryza nivara chromosome 11, whole genome shotgun sequence.